GACGAACGCUGGCGGCGUGCUUAACACAUGCAAGUCGAACGGAAAGGCCCUGCUUUUGUGGGGUGCUCGAGUGGCGAACGGGUGAGUAACACGUGAGUAACCUGCCCUUGACUUUGGGAUAACUUCAGGAAACUGGGGCUAAUACCGGAUAGGAGCUCCUGCUGCAUGGUGGGGGUUGGAAAGUUUCGGCGGUUGGGGAUGGACUCGCGGCUUAUCAGCUUGUUGGUGGGGUAGUGGCUUACCAAGGCUUUGACGGGUAGCCGUCCUGAGAGGGUGACCGGCCACAUUGGGACUGAGAUACGGCCCAGACUCCUACGGGAGGAAGCAGUGGGGAAUAUUGCACAAUGGGCGGAAGCCUGAUGCAGCAACGCCGCGUGCGGGAUGACGGCCUUCGGGUUGUAAACCGCUUUCGCCUGUGACGAAGCGUGAGUGACGGUAAUGGGUAAAGAAGCACCGGCUAACUACGU
rnacentral:rRNA from 1 species